GAUGAACGCUGGCGGCGUGCCUAAUACAUGCAAGUCGAGCGAACGGACGAGAAGCUUGCUUCUCUGAUGUUAGCGGCGGACGGGUGAGUAACACGUGGAUAACCUACCUAUAAGACUGGGAUAACUUCGGGAAACCGGAGCUAAUACCGGAUAAUAUUUUGAACCGCAUGGUUCAAAAGUGAAAGACGGUCUUGCUGUCACUUAUAGAUGGAUCCGCGCUGCAUUAGCUAGUUGGUAAGGUAACGGCUUACCAAGGCAACGAUGCAUAGCCGACCUGAGAGGUUGACGGGCCCCGCGGAAACUGGGACAGGUUCAGAAAUCAAACGGAGGGCAACAUAGGGAAAUCUUCGGCAUUGGGCGAAGGCCUGACGGGGCACCGCCGCGUGAGGAAUGAAGUCCUCCGAAUGGUAAAACUCUGUUAUUGGGAAGGAACAUGUGGGAAGUAACUGUGCACAUCUUGACGGUACCUAAUCAGAAAGCCACGGCUAACUACGUG
rnacentral:rRNA from 1 species